GAUAAACGCUGGCGGCGUGCAUAACACAUGCAAGUCGAACGAUGAAACUUAGCUGAUUUCUUCGGAAUGAAAUUAAGCGGAUUAGUGGCGAACGGGUGAGUAACACGUGAGUAACCUGCCUUACACAAGGGGAUAGCCUUUGGAAACGAAGAAUAAUACCCUAUAAAGUCAAAAUAUCGCAUGAUAUAGUGACCAAAGAUUUAUCGGUGUAAGAUGGACUUGCGUCUGAUUAGCUAGUUGGUGAGAUAAAAGCCCACCAAGGCGACGAUCAGUAGCCGGCUUGAGAGAGUGUACGGCCACAUUGGGACUGAGACACGGCCCAAACUCCUACGGGAGGCAGCAGUGGGGGAUUUUGCACAAUGGGGGAAACCCUGAUGCAGCGACGCCGCGUGAUUUAGAAGGCCUUCGGGUUGUAAAAAUCUUUUUUAUGGGAUGAAAAUGACAGUACCAUAAGAAUAAGGUCCGGCUAAAUACGUGCCAGCAGCCGCGGUAAUACGUAUGGACCGAGCGUUGUCCGGAAUCAUUGGGCGUAAAGGGUACGUAGGCGGCCUAGUAAGUUAGAAGUGAAAUAAUAUAGCUCAACUAUAUAAAGCUUUUAAAACUGUUAGGCUUGAGAGAUGAAAGGGAAAGUGGAAUUCCUAGUGUAGCGGUGAAAUGCGCAGAUAUUAGGAAGAAUACCGGUGGCGAAGGCGACUUUCUGGUCAUCAUCUGACGCUGAGGUACGAAAGCGUGGGUAGCAAACAAGG
rnacentral:rRNA from 1 species